GCCUCAGUGGUCUAGUAGUAUGAUUCGCCCUUCGGGUUGUUCCCCGCUUCUUACGUAAGCAAACUGGGUGAGGUCCCCGGUUCAAUUCCGGGCUGGGGCC